AUUUUUUGUCAUGGAAGUCUAAGAGUUUGAAAGCUAUGAAACUCUCCCCUGGCUUAAGAAAAUACCUUUAUGCUGAAUCACAUAACAUUUUGGGGAUAGCCCAUUUCAGGGUCAAGUAAGAUCUCUGCCCUAUGUGACUAGCCAAGAAUUUAUUAUGAGCUCAUGUUCAUUGUCUCCUUUUUGCAAAUGGGUCCACUAUGUACUGCUACAGCCAGGUCUCACUCAGCGUCUGGCUUAAGCAAUGAUUUCGGUAUCUGAAUGAGAACCUGGAUGUUCUCACCUAAGAUCUGUAUUAAAAAGUUUUGGAAAUCAUUAUAGAUCAUGGUGGUUUUCUCACUCCUGAGCUUAGAGGGUUGGUGAAGCUAGAAUUAUGGGACUUGAAAAUGUUCUUUCAA
rnacentral:lncRNA from 1 species